AGAUUAAUGUUAGUAGUUAAUGGGUUAAAAAGUUAAAAUAAUAUACACAAAACAUUAUUAAAUUUAGUAUAGGCGAUUGAAAUUUAAUAUUUCUGCAUGGAGAUAGUACUGUGAAGGAAACUAAAAAACUAAGAGCUAGAAAUAAUUAAAAUUUGUACCUUUUGCAUCAUGGCUUAACUAGAUUAGGUCCUAGAUAGGAGAUCUCGAAACCUAAUGAGCUAUCUUUAUUCCUUUUUAUAGAUUAUAAUAACGAGUUGGUUGUGGCAAAAAUCUCUCAAGAAAUAAAGAUAGAUAUGAAAUUUUAUUCGUAUUAGGUGAUAGCUAGUUCUUUUCUAAAGGCAUAUUAGUGCCUUAAAUCAUAAAUUAGACAGCACAAAUAAAUAUUUGUGAUUGUAUAUAUUGAUUUACCUAGAUUUUCGAGGAUAAGCUCGGAAAUGAUUUGAAAUUGCAUUUAAUUUUUUUUUAGAUAUAAGCUUAAUAAUGGCUAUUGAUGUAGGAUUUUGUUAUAAUUCAUUUUUUGAUUGUUAAUAUAAUUCAUUUGCUUAAUAAAUAGGGAAGAAAUUUUAGUAACUUAACUAUAAAAUAAUUUUAUGUUAAGAUGAGUAUUAAAUUAUUUAUUAAACUGCUAAAAAAAAAACAUGGCUUCGUGUCCGUAUUAAAAUACGAAGUCGGACCUGCCCAGUGAGUUUUAAACGGCCGCGGUACUCUGACCGUGCAAAGGUAGCAUAAUCAUUUGCCUUAUAAUUGAAGGCUGGAAUGAAUGGUUUGACAAGAAUACACCUGUCUCUUUUAGAUUAUUUAGAAUUUUAUUUCUGGAUGAAAAAGUUCAGAUAGCAUUAAAAGACAAGAAGACCCUAUUGAGCUUUAGAGAAAUUAAUAGAUUUAAUGUAAAUCGAUAUAAGUAAAAGAAAAACUAUUAAAUACUUUGGUUGGGGCAACCGAGGAGCAAAUAAAGACUCCUCUAAAUCACAAAUCUUACUUGUGUUGAUCCAAAGAAUUUUGAUCAAAGGAAUUAGUUACCGUAGGGAUAACAGCAUUAUCUUUUUCAAGAGCCCAUAUCGAAAAAAAGGUUUGUGACCUCGAUGUUGGACCAGAAUAUCCUAAAGAUGUAGAAGUCUUUAAGGGUUGGUCUGUUCGACCAUUAAAAUUCUACGUGAUCUGAGUUCAGACCGGCGUGAGCCAGGUCAGUUUCUAUCUUUAUAUUUUUUGGUUGCAUUUAGUACGAAAGGACCAAUAUAACGUAUAAAAUAUUUUAAUUAGAUUAAAUAUAAUUCAACUUUAAA
rnacentral:rRNA from 1 species